AAGAAAGGUCGCUUUUCAAAGAUCAAGACAGCGUUCAACAGAAACGCAUCAGUCCUGUACAACAAGAAGCGAAAUCUGGAGGUUUUAUUGCACAGACCCGUCCCUGGAAAUAUUUAACACCAGCCAACAGACAGCGACUCUCUGCUCUGCAUAGCAGAGCAACACUUGUGAGAGCCUUAAUGAGCGAGGUAACGUUGAUGGUAGGACAGAUUGGUUCCAGACCCGGACAGCGCAGAAAGAAAGUUUCUACAGCUGCACGGAACCGUCGAAAUAAAGCCUCAUCUUUAACGCUUCUGGCUGCAUGUCAGAUUCUGUUACAGAAGCAGUUUGGUGACAUCAAGGUGAUUUUAAACUGAACUGAUCACUGUGUUUUUUUGUUUGAUUUUUCUUAUGCUCAUAUAAAUGGAUAACUGAAUCAGACUUGCCCUGGAUGAAAUAAAAAAUUUAGUAACUGAGCUUAACAAAAUCCCUAUAGCUGCACAUGUUUCAGAGGAAGAAGCAUCUCUUGUUAACAACCACAAUGAAGAUCAACACGGUGACUGUUUAAACUUAAUCGAUCAGGCUAUUGAAGAAUACUCAAUACUUGGUCGGGAAUCCUUUGGCAGAAAUGACUGCUUCAAUGCGGCGUGGCAUGGAGGCAAUCAGCCUGUGGCACUGCUGAGGUCUUAUGGAGGCCCAGGAU